rnacentral:lncRNA from 1 species
UAGAGGUAGAGGUAGAGGUAGAGGCAGAGGUAGAGGGCGAGGAGGUCGUGGAAACAGAGACGACAGCAGCCAUUUCAACUCCAAAGAGCAAUCUAUGGAGAAGGGAAAAGAUCAGGAGUAUAACAAAUCCAAAAUUGAGUGUUACCGAUGUCACAAAUUUGGCCACUAUGCAUCUGAAUGUUACACCAAGUUGCCAAAGGAAAGGGAAGAAAGUUCCAACUUU